AAAGCAAGGCUACCGUGCAGACCACUUUAGAUCAAACCUUUGAGUCCUAAAGACAACGUUUGGAAUUGGAAGAUAUCGACACAGCAAAUUUUAUUAUUUCAGUUAAAGCCGAAAGAAUAACGAUGAAACUUGCAAUCUUCACUUUGUUUAUGCUGGCUAUAGCAGGAAUUGCGUCAGGCCGCUUUUGCUAUAGAAAAACGUGUGUCCUAAGGAAGGUGUAUUUCUACCCACAAUGCUGCCUUCUCACUCUUCAUGAGCUGCAAGUACGAACCUGUUACUUAGCCUGGCAUUACUGCGGCCGCAAGCGGUCCGUUGGCCGGCAAAACGAGGUCGAAGUUGGUUUCCCCUGCGAUUUCAAAAAGUACGACGGCAACAACGACAAAUCGAUUAGCCUUCAAGAGUUCAAGACAGUCACAGAACUACACGAAGAUGGGAAGAAACUUUUCGAAGCAGUGGACAAGAACAAAGAUGGUGGAAUCGACUGCAACGAGUUCACAUCAUCAAAUUUAGAAUUUCAAUGCAAACCCAAAAAAUGCAAUGAUAAAAGUGAAGAUGAAUUUUUGGAUGACGAGUAAUUGAAAUCCAGCACAUCUAAGUAGAAUGGACUUUAUAUGGACUUUAGGACUAUAGAAUCGUAUAAAACAUUGAAUGAAAAAAACUUGUAUCUUUCCAUGUGAAUGCAUGCUCACAUAUAUGAUCUUGUUAUAAUAAGCAACGUUCUAACAAAAAAAAAUGAAUAAAAAAUAGCUUUUUUCUUGUUUAA